UUUAAAGAUAGUGUUUCAACAUACUGAACAAAAACUAAGCAACAGAAUUAAGAGUCACAACGAAAUUUGUAUCUAAAAUAAGCAAAAUGAAGACUUUUAGCAACAACGAAAAGGUUAUGUAAGGUCAUACACAACAUUUUGACUCUUAUACUAUCAAUCAUUUAGACACAUCAACAAAAAAAUUUACAAUUCAGCCUAACCUCCAACUCAUUUCAAGUGCAUCCAACAAAAACCAAUAAAUAAAAAAUAAAUUAAGUCACUCAUUAGGUGCUGGUGGUGGUAUCCAUUUGUAGCUCCUCCUAUUGUGCCCUAGUUCACCACAUUUUCGACAUGUCUCAGUCAUCAUCCUCUCUUCCCUGCUUUUUGAAGGGCUUUCAUUUUGCAAAGACUUUUUGGACUUCAUCCCCUGACUUGAAGACUCCACCUCAUUUGGCUCUUUUUGCCUGUUUUUUUUGGCCUCCCAGGCUUUUUGGCAUACAUAGGUGGACUUAGAGGGUUGAGAUCUGGACUAGGCCAUGAGUCCGGACUAAUUGUGGGAAAAAUUGAUGGCAUAUAUGUCAUGAGGUAAGACUCAUUUUUGUACAUGAUAGUUACAUCAAUUACACUAAGGCCUUUAAAUACCACUGAGAUAAUCACAUGGCAACAAGUGAUUCUUAAUAACUGCUAAGCAUGACAUGUACAAGUCCUUGCCUUGAGGUCAACAACAUGUAGUACAAUGCCUGUAUUAUAUCAAAUUUUCAGCUCACUCAAACCUUGCCAACUUACUAUUUUUGUUGAGAAUCUUUUGGAUUUUAUGGCCUUAAUCCUGUCCCUCUAUCAGCUAACUCUCUACGGGCUAUAAUUUUCUUCAUGAAAUAUACCCUAAUCUCCUCGAGCAUAGUUAGAAUGGGCUUCUCUCUUGCAUUGACAAUUGUGUUAUUGGAUGAUUCACAAAAAUUGUACAAAAGCAUGUUACACCGUGUUUACUCUUUGAAUGGGACUUUUUCCAAUAGGAUGCUAUUUUUGGUUCAAGCCAACCAGACACAUCCAGGUCCAAGUUCAACAUCUUUUGCAUGUGUUCAAGCUACAAUAGCACAGUGGCUUUGGCCGCAUCUUGAAGACAACGCUUCAAAACUAAUCUCUUGUGUGAGACACUAAAGUUAGCUUCAAGCUAAUUCUUUUCAAGUGAUUUCUCCUUUGUUCUAUACAUUCGCUCGCCAAUGUGAAUUAUGACCUAAACUAUCCCUUUUAACCCUCUUUGUGAAUGUGCUCACGAACAUUUUGGUUCAGACCUCCAGUCAGAUAAAUAUCUAUUUGUCAAAUAAGUCGAGCUCACUCAAAAAUUCUUAUACACCAUGGGGCAAAUAUGCUCUUCUACAUAUGUUUUGAUCAACCAAUUUGUCUUCUUAUGCUCAUUGGUAGUAUAAAAUACACAUGGACACUUUUCAUUAUGUUCAGCUCUCAAUCUCAAUGCAUCAUUAUUUGAUCACCCUAUUGUUUCUAAUUGAAUGUGCGGUGAUGGUAGCCUUAACAUUGACUUGGACUUAAAUAUUAACCAUAACAAUUAGAAAAUGGAAUCAUAUCAAUCAUCCAUAAAGAAUAGUUUAAAGUAAGUUAAAUAAUGUGUUGAAGUUACCAUUUUUGAACAUUAGGCCCUUCACAUCAGUCCUUGUAUCGAAAGCAUCAGUUGACACUCUUUUUCUUGAAGUUGUAUCAUCCUUCCUUUACUAUCAAUGCUUUGCAACUCAUCGGAGUCCUUAUGGUUGGUAUCCGAUUCCCUAACUAGUUGCUCAUCAGACACACCGAAUUCAAAAUCAAAAUAACCCUUCGGUUCCGAGCUUCAACAAUAGAAACGAGCUCCUGUUCCAUCUCAUGAUCAAAUUCUACCAAACAUUCAACGUUCUCUCUCCUAUACUUUGUCCUUCAUUAUGAGCUUCAACUCAACUUUUUCAUCUUCCAUACAAAUAUCACAUAAAUUUGAUCUAGUUAAUAAUGGUAUUGAAGUAUUUCCUCAUAAUGUGACCACAACUUUUCAGCAUGCUCAUGAAAAAACUAAUCUGACUAAUCAAUUUCAAUCUAUUUACCCUCGUUUUCUUUUAGAGAAGGUACGUAACAACCUUCAAAUGUUUGUGGUUCAUCACAUUCAUUUCCUGCACCUCUAUUUAAUUGUACAUCAACUUCUGAUAUCGUUGAAUGUAAUGGCAAUGCAUUAAUACAGUUGGUCUAUGACAUAUAUUUGCAUUAGUAGAAGCCCAUCUCCGACCCUAAUCAUUUCCUUAAUAUCCUCUUCACUCUCCAAUCUAGUCAGCCCCUUCCCUGAACUUAUUUUUCACCUUUUGUAGUAAAACUCCAAUACCAAAUCAUUACCAACAAUGUUUAAGAACUUUCUCGAAAUAUCUCUGGUAAACAAUGCAUCAUGGAAGAAAUCCAAGAAAAGCACGAAACUAAAUGUACAAUUUUAGAUUUCUCAUAAACUUUUAUUAAAAUAUACUAAAAAUCUAAUCUUUAGGAAGACCAAAUGUACAAUUUUUAGAUUUACUAUAAACAAUAAUUUGACCAAACAUAAAGGUCCAAUAUUUUAGGCAAAGUGAUUUAAACCAUCAUUAUCGAACCAUACAUUAUAAUAGUUAGUGUCAGGAAUUAUAUUUAGGAACUUCAA
rnacentral:lncRNA from 1 species